GACUGAGGUGUCUUCAGGAAGCACAUGC
rnacentral:piRNA from 1 species